UCCCUAGUGGCCGAGUGGUUAAGGCUUCGGCAUUGUCACUGCUGUGGCACAGGUUCAGUUCCUGGCCAGGGAU
rnacentral:tRNA from 1 species